GAUGAACGCUGGCGGCGUGCCUAAUACAUGCAAGUCGAGCGAACAGACGAGGAGCUUGCUCCUCUGACGUUAGCGGCGGACGGGUGAGUAACGCGUGGAUAACCUACCUAUAAGACUGGGAUAACUUCGGGAAACCGGAGCUAAUACCGGAUAAUAUAUUGAACCGCAUGGUUCAAUAGUGAAAGACGGUUUUGCUGUCACUCAUAGAUGGAUCCGCGCCGCAUUAGCUAGUUGGUAAGGUAACGGCUUACCAAGGCAACGAUGCGUAGCUGACCUGAGAGGGUGAUCGGCCACACUGGAACUGAGACACGGUCCAGACUCCUACGGGAGGCAGCAGUAGGGAAUCUUCCGCAAUGGGCGAAAGCCUGACGGAGCAACGCCGCGUGAGUGAUGAAGGUCUUCGGAUCGUAAAACUCUGUUAUUAGGGAAGAACAAAUGUGUAAGUAACUAUGCACGUCUUGACGGUACCUAAUCAGAAAGCCACGGCUAACUACGUG
rnacentral:rRNA from 1 species